rnacentral:rRNA from 1 species
GAUUUCUGGUUUGGAGCGCUUGGCCCGCCUCGGUUACGAGUGUGAGUGUUGAUGCGUUCCUACCAUCUUUCCACAGAACGGCUUCGGGCCCUUCGCUGGGUUCUGGGGACGCGAUGUGGAUCUAUUACUUUGAAAAAAUUAGAGUGUUUAAAGCAGGCGAUUGGCUUCUGAAUACAUUAGCAUGGAAUAAUAAUUUAGGACUUCGGUUCUAUUUUGUUGGUUUCUAGGACUGAAGUAAUGAUUGAUAGGGAUAGUUGGGGGUGCUAGUAUUCCGUGGCCAGAGGUGAAAUUCUUGGAUUCACGGAAGACUAACUUAUGCGAAAGCAUU